rfam:Gossypium hirsutum cultivar TM-1 unplaced genomic scaffold scaffold3917.1, whole genome shotgun sequence
UGUUAAAAAUUUCAUCCAAAUCUAUUGUUAAAAACUGACAUGACUUAUUCACGUAUACUUUAUGUUGACGUAUAAGAACCAAUUUUUAAUAGUAGAAAUGGAUAAAAUUUUUAACA